rnacentral:rRNA from 1 species
UACGUAGGGUGCAAGCGUUGUCCGGAAUUAUUGGGCGUAAAGAGCUCGUAGGCGGUCUGUUGCGUCGGCUGUGAAAACCCGAGGCUCAACCUCGGGCCUGCAGCCGAUACGGGCAGACUAGAGUUCGGCAGGGGAGACUGGAAUUCCUGGUGUAGCGGUGAAAUGCGCAGAUAUCAGGAAGAACACCUAUGGCGAAGGCAGCUCUCUGGGACGGUACUGACGCUGAGACGCGAAAGCGUGGGGAGCGAACAGG